rnacentral:tRNA from 1 species
GGGUAUAGCUCAGUGGUAGAGUGCAUGCUUAGCAUGCAUGGGGUCCUGAGUUCAAUCCCCAGUACCUCCA